rnacentral:rRNA from 1 species
CGCCAACUAGCUAGCCCGCCCCCACAAAAGCAACAACCCACUAUAAAUAAACCCAAACACACGCACCCCCAAAAAACAAACCAUUUUACCUCCCUAGUACGGGCGACAGAAAAGGAAUUAUCGGAGCAAUAGAGAAAGUACCGCAAGGGAAUGCUGAAAGAGAAAUGAAAUAACCCAGUGAAGCUUAAAAAAGCAGAGAUUACACCUCGUACCUUUUGCAUCAUGAUUUAGCCAGUAAUACCCAAGCAAAGAGAACUUUAGUUUGAGCCCCCGAAACUACGUGAGCUACUCCAAGACAGCCUAUUAAUAGGGCAAACCCGUCUCUGUGGCAAAAGAGUGGGAAGAGCUUUGAGUAGAGGUGACAGACCUACCGAACCUAGUUAUAGCUGGUUGCCUGAGAAUUGGAUAGGAGUUCAGCCUCCAGGCUUCUCUCUUCACCGCGGUUUAACCCCUGCCGAUAUCUAAAAGAAGCCUAGAGAGUUAAUCAAAGGGGGUACAGCCCCUUUGAGACAAGAUACAACUUUUCCAGGAGGGUAAAGAUCAUAUUUACUCAAGGUAACAAUGCCCAGGUGGGCCUAAAAGCAGCCAUCCUGAUAGAAAGCGUUAAAGCUCAAGCAUUAUACUUCACCCACAUAUUUUGAUAACCAAGUCCCAACCCCCUAACAUUAUCAGGCCAUCUCAUGCAAACAUGAGAGUGCACAUGCUAAUAUGAGUAACAAGAGAGCACCCGCCUCUCUCCUAGCACACGUGUAAAUCGGAACGAACCCCCACCGAAACUUAACGGCCCCAAACAAAGAGGGUAAUGAACAACAAGUAAGCAACCAGAAAACCAUCCAAUAAACAACCGUUAACCCUACACUGGUGUGCCCCUAAGGAAAGACUAAAAGAAAAAGAAGGAACUCGGCAAACAUUCCAAGCCUCGCCUGUUUACCAAAAACAUCGCCUCUUGCAAAAACAAAGAAUAAGAGGUCCCGCCUGCCCUGUGACUAUAUGUUUAACGGCCGCGGUAUUUUAACCGUGCGAAGGUAGCGCAAUCACUUGUCUUUUAAAUGGAGACCUGUAUGAAUGGCAUUACGAGGGCUUAACUGUCUCCUUUUUCAAGUCAGUGAAAUUGAUCUCCCCGUGCAGAAGCGGGGAUACGCUUAUAAGACGAGAAGACCCUAUGGAGCUUUAGACACCAAGGCAUGUCAUGUUAAACACCCCUAAACAAAGAACUAAACCAAAUGAACUAUGCCCCUAUGUCUUUGGUUGGGGCGACCACGGGGAAAUACAAAACCCCCGAGCGGAACGGGAGUACGACCUCCUAAAGCCAAGAGCUGCAGCUCUAACAAGCAGAACUUCUGACCAAUAAGAUCCGGCAACGCCGAUCAACGGACCGAGUUACCCUAGGGAUAACAGCGCAAUCCCCUUUUAGAGCCCAUAUCGACAAGGGGGUUUACGACCUCGAUGUUGGAUCAGGACAUCCUAAUGGUGCAGCCGCUGUUAAGGGUUCGUUUGUUCAACGAUUAAAGUCCUACGUGAUCUGAGUUCAGACCGGAGUAAUCCAGGUCAGUUUCUAUCUAUAAAAUGUUCUUUUCUAGUACGAAAGGACCGAAAAGAAGAGGCCAAUACUCAAAGCACGCCUCACCCCUCCUGUUGAAAACAACUAAAAUAGGCAAAAGGGCAUAUCCCUUGUGCCUAAGAUAAUGGCAU